GCUUCAUCCAGCUGCACAGAAACUGAUGGCCAUGCCCCCAAAGUACAUUCUUCGUGUCUACAUAGCCACUGAUGUGGCUGUGAAAGUGACUUUGAAUGAGAGGUCAACAUCAGUUGAUGAGCUCAUUGGCAUCUUGAAAGACAAAGUUAAGCCAAGGCUGGACUUUGAAUUCACGUUACAGUAUGAGGAUCCGGACUUCGGAGGAGUGCUCUGCUGUUUGAUUGACAUAGAAGACCUGCCAGAGAAGAGCACGCUUAGAG
ensembl:lncRNA